UAGGGAAUCUUCCACAGUGGGCGAAAGCCUGAUGGAGCAACGCCGCGUGUGUGAUGAAGGGUUUCGGCUCGUAAACACUGUUGUAAGAGAAGAAUGACAUUGAGAGUAACUGUUCAAUGUGUGACGGUAUCUUACCAGAAAGGAACGGCUAAAUACGUGCCAC
rnacentral:rRNA from 1 species